ACAGGAACUGCAGAACAAUCUGACACUCCAGUGUCUGCUAAUGACAUGUGUUCCCUUGCUGAAUGGCCAUCCCAUGCUCGCCGCAACUGUGCGCUACUACAGGAUGAAGCUGGUGGACAGAAGAAGAAAGGGCGAGGUGUUCUAAAGGGUUUUAAAGCAUCUAAGAAGCGUUUUGCCAAUGGAUCUUCAAAGCUAAAUAUUACAUUCUCUGAAAAAUUGGGUGGUACAGUAGGAAUGAACUAUCGUUCGUUCAAGGAUGACGUGGUAGUCAUAAUGAAAAGAAAGUUACCACUCAUUGGAGUGAGGACGUGGUCGAACAUUCACCCUACCAUUCAUCGACUCAUUGUUGCAGAUAUGAUAGACAGAUGGGACCUGGAAGAUACACCAGAAACAGAAGAAAAAGUUCUCAAAAUUGUGAAAGAGAGAUAUAGAGGCUGGCGAUCAACUCUAAGCUCCACUUACAAGGCAUACAAAAUAGAUGCAGCUAGAUUGGCUAAUCUGCCGGAAGAUUUACAACCAGAAGAGUGGGAAUGGAUGAUUGAGUACUUGGCACUGAUUCAAAAUUUCAGGGAACGCAGCCAAAAGAACACCGAUAACCGUAAGAAACAGAAGAGAAAACACAUAAUCGGAUCAAAAUCUUACUCGCAAGUUAGUUUUGAGAAGAGAAACUUGGAAACUGGAGAAGAGCCAGAUUGUAUUGCUCUGUGGGAACUCACCCACACAAACGAUGGAACAUGGUCUAACACAGAUUCCCAGAAAGUUUACGACAAAGCACUUCAAGAGGUUAAAAACAAAGAAACUGAAACUAAAGGUCCACUUUCAAGUGAGCAGAAAAACAAUAUUUUCCAGACCGCUUGCAAAGACACUCUGGAAUGCAAGUCAUCGCAGCCUCGUGGGUACGGAUACAUGGCCAAAACUUCAACUGGUUCUGAAAGGUUCCGUAUCCAGAUUGAAGAGCAAGCUCGUGCUACAGCAGCCACCCAGGAGCAAAACUCUCAGCUCAGCCAGCAGGUCAACGACUUAGAUCAACUACAAGCUGAACGUGCUAACACACAAGAGAGGAUUAACUUGGAGCGUGCUGAGAGAGAAUAACUUGAGGAGAGGUUAAAAGAAGAGCGUGCUGAAAGGGAAAGAUUGUUGCAAGAGGAGCGAACAUCAAGACUGGAAUUUGAAAAAGACAUGAUGGCAAAGUUUGUAGAAUUGAUCAAACAGUUGGGAACCCAACAGGUGCCUACGAAGAGGGUUGACAAAGAAAAUAGUAAUCCAAACUUGCAAAAUAUUCCUUUACAGAGAUCUAGUCCUAAUAAGACUCUAGGUUCAAGGCCAACUGCUAUUUCUUCAAAUGCGCUCAUACAAGCUGCAGCAAGGCAAUCUCGAAUGUUUAAAGCAAUGGUAAGUCACAACCUUGCUUUCUCUUCAUAUUCACCUGCAUUUUGUACGUCAUUGGUCUUAAGAAUUAGCUAG
rnacentral:rRNA from 1 species